AAAAAAAAAAAAGAAGUUCAAAAGUCAUCUUUGGCUGCAUACCAAGUCUGAGGCUUAAAAAAAACAAAACAAAACAAAACAAAAAUUGGACAGACAUUUCUCCUUUGUCUUGUGCUCCGAGCUCUUCCAAUGGCCACCCGAUUCUUCACACACACACACACACACACACACACACACACACACACACACACACUUACUUCCCCUUAUGCAUGUGUAUUUGUCUCUUAUUCCUCUCCUCAUUGAGCACUCCCAAAAGAUAUUCCUUAGUUCUUUUGUUUCCCAGCCUUGUGCUACGUGCACACGCUCCAUGCGCCUUCUGCACUGUGUGGAUUCUCUCCCUCCCUCCCUGGUCUUUCCACACCCAGGACACUUCUUUGCACGAU
rnacentral:lncRNA from 1 species